AGAAUCAACGCUGGCGGCGUGCCUAACACAUGCAAGUCGAACGAGAAAGUGGAGCAAUCCAUGAGUAAAGUGGCGCACGGGUGAGUAACACGUGACUAACCUACCCUUGAGUGGGGAAUAACUGAGGGAAACCUUAGCUAAUACCGCAUAACACCUACGGGUCAAAGGAGCAAUUCGCUUUAGGAGGGGGUCGCGGCCGAUUAGUUAGUUGGCGGGGUAAUGGCCCACCAAGACUGUGAUCGGUA
rnacentral:rRNA from 1 species